CAAGCGGGAAGGGAUGGAGGGACGAUGACAUUUGUGAUCCUGGAUCCGGUCAUUUUUCCUGAGCACCAGUAAACUGAGUUCUGAAAUUCUAAUGCUUCCAAAUGGCUGAAGGAGUUUAAACUGCUUAAGCGGGAUCUGGAGAGCAUUAUUUGUCUUCAUUAUAAGUUGAAACCGGAAGAUUUCUCAAGCUUAUAUUGACUUGACCUUCUGUCUCUCCAUGCCUUGGGAAGGGUAGCCCUCCUUAGUGGCCGGCAACAUUGAGCACGGUCUCCAGGCACACGGGCCUCAGCAGUUGUGG